ACAUUUCGUCUUGCAGGGGUUCUCUCUGUUUUUUCAGGGGAAACUAUUUAUUGUGACGUUUGUUUACUAAAAAGCUACCUGUUUUACCAGCAGUUCCUUUUCAUUUUGAGAUAGUCUCACUAAGUUGCUAAAUUGCCCAGGCUAGACUCCAACUUGUGAUCCUCCUGCCUCCCAGAGUGACUGAAUCACAGGCCUGUGCUACAGGACCAGAGUCAAACUAAGUUGCUAAAUUGCCCAGGCUGGACUCCAACUUGUGAUCCUCCUGCCUCCCAGAGUGACUGAAUCACAGGCCUGUGCUACAGGACCAGUAAAACAUCAGAAUGUACGAACGUUUGCAGGAUGACAAUCCAACGAUGCUUCUGCUAAGGGGAAUGUGGGAGAAGUUGAGCACCUAUGAAUACUUCCUUGUGUCCUGCCUGGGACUCAUAGCUAUAAUUGUGGGAAUGGUUUUCUUUGCAAAAUCCCCCUCUCACCCUGUGGGUUUUGCUGUUGCAAUGACACUGUUGAGUGUGAGUGCAUUUUCACUCAUCAUCACCAGUUGGCUGGUUUGGUGUAUAGCCGAGGAGAGGAUGCAGAGAAGCCUGGACACAGGCCAGCAGGGAGGGACUGACUCGGACAGUGUUGGACAGUACUCUUUGGAGUCAGCCAGCACCUCCCUAUGACUCUGUGGUGAACUGCGAUGUGGGGACCCUCCUGGCACAUUGAAACAUUUUAAGUAUU